rnacentral:rRNA from 1 species
AUUGAACGCUGGCGGCAGGCCUAACACAUGCAAGUCGAGCGGAUGAAGGGAGCUUGCUCCUGGAUUCAGCGGCGGACGGGUGAGUAAUGCCUAGGAAUCUGCCUGGUAGUGGGGGAUAACGUCCGGAAACGGGCGCUAAUACCGCAUACGUCCUGAGGGAGAAAGUGGGGGUUCUUCGGACCUCACGCUAUCAGAUGAGCCUAGGUCGGAUUAGCUAGUUGGUGGGGUAAAGGCCUACCAAGGCGACGAUCCGUAACUGGUCUGAGAGGAUGAUCAGUCACACUGGAACUGAGACACGGUCCAGACUCCUACGGGAGGCAGCAGUGGGGAAUAUUGGACAAUGGGCGAAAGCCUGGUCCAGCCAUGCCGCGUGUGUGAAGAAGGUCUUCGGAUUGUAAAGCACUUUAAGUUGGGAGGAAGGGCAGUAAGUUAAUACCUUGCUGUUUUGACGUUACCAACAGAAUAAGCACCGGCUAACUUCGUG